CUGACAUCCUAAGGAACAUUAUCUUUUGAGGGCACAAUCUUUCACUUGCAUCCUCUAUGGUAAUGCAUCUGAAUCUGGAUCCAAGAUCUUAUCAAUACACCAGGGAUUCAGUCUAGGUUCUGAUGCUCACUUCACCAUCGUUGAGAUGAAGAAUAUUGCCAGAUGUGGAACCUGCAGAUGCAGGGGGC